UACAUUUUAAAAUGGUUAAAAUGGUAAAUUUUAUGUUAUAUACAUUUUACCACAAUGAACAAAUUUUUUAAUUCAUUUAUUUCUUUUUAUUUUUAAAAACUAUAGCCACUGCCAAGGUACAGCUCGAGCCAUUGCUUCAGAGCGUGCAAAAUUUAAAUUACAUAUGUGGCUUUCCACCUUGGGCCUGACAAGUAGCAAGAAGAAGAAGGUCCAUUCUACCAUGAAUGAGGUGGUGACCCAAGAACACAUCAUCGACAUUCACAGGGGCACCUGGGGAGUGAACUUCAAAAAGCAUGCGCCUCCAGAACUCAGAGAAAUCUGGAAAUUUGCCAUGAAGGAGACUAACCAGAAUGGGGAAGAAGGCAGCGAAGGUGCGGUGGAUCUGCAGCCACUAGUGAGGAACUGGUAAGUGGUCGUACUGUAGCAUUAACUAAUGUUCGUGAAUGUUCUUUACACUUAGAGAGCCACUUCACAUUCAUUACCUGAUGAGGUUCUCCCCACUCUGUAAGUAUGAUUAUUCCCAUUGUAUUUAUGAGGAAACCAAGGCUCAAGAUUGCUCAACAAUUUGCCCUGAAUAACUAGUAAUUGUUUGAAUGUGGAAGAUUUUCUGUCUUGCAUCACACUCAAGUACCUAUUUAUUGGGGAUGCCCUUUUUUUAAUAUAAUAUCCAGAGAACUUUUCUUCUAUAUCUAAUUUUACUGCUGUUUUAAAAAUUAGGCAAUUACAGUUCCAUCAGCUCAAUUCGAAACCCAGAUAAUAAGCAACAUUUAGUUGCAAGGUACUCCAGGGAAUACAAAAAUGAGAGGGCACAGCCCUGGGCUUUUGGGAACUUUGAUCUGGGAAAUGUAAACAGCAUGUUUAAAACAAGACAGAACCAAGGACUAUACAGGAUUUUCUAAUUUCUUCCUUUACAGUUGAGGAAACAGGUCUGGCAUCAAGGAUUCCCCACUUGAGUUACUGCAAAUAAUCCUUCGGUGCUGGUCUCCUGCUCUGGGCUGCAAGCUCCUCUAGGGCAGGGCGUGGCUUCCUUAUGCCCAUGCUACACCCUGGUGUUUGUGCAUGGGCAGGUACAGAGUGGGCACACAUUUGAUGCAUCUUCACCUCAAUUUCUUCCAAAUGGAAUAUGCCUCAUGAUAUUUUUCUUUAUGCAACAGGUAUUUACUUAGUUUCCAUUAUGUGGCAUGCACUUUUUAGGCACUUGGGAGAUCAGGGAACAAAACAGAAAAUACUCCCUGCUCUUCCAAAGUCAAAAGGUAUAAUCAGUCUUUUGCCUUGCAGGAGUUUGAUACCUAUAUGGUACACUACAUCAUAGGGGUAAUGGUCAGAGUGUCUCUGCUUCUAGCUUUAGUUCUAUACACUUACUACUAAAGAGGCACAUGACUUCUAACAGCUGAAGAAGUUUCAGGAAUAUCUCCUUUACCUCCUUCUCUUAAUCUCAACUCUACAUAAAUCUGAGGUUCCUGUAAAAUUUUUGAAAUUUUAGGGAGCUGUCAAGGCAAAGAUAUAGAGUGGUGAAAGUGUGUAAAAAAAGCUGGUAAAUGAACUAUGUGACCAGAGUGUAGGGCUCACAGAGCCUUUAGUUGGAGGUGAGUUAGCUUGACACCACAGUAGAGGGCCUUGGGAGAAGCCAUUUAGAUUUUGGGUAACUGAGAGUGUUUUGAGGUUUUUGAUAAAGAAAACAAAUAUGAACUUACCUGUGUUUAGGAAGGUUACUGUGGCAGGGGUGAGAAGGAUGCACCAGGUGGGGCAAGACAAAUUAGGAGGGUUUUACACAAGUGUGUUAUGAGAUAAUGGAGUUAGAGCAAGACAGCAGGAAGGGAGGAGGGAUGAGAGACUGCAGAAGUGGAAACAACAUGAGUUCAUGAUGGCUGAUGGGCUAGAGGAGAGAAUUCUUGAAGGUGAUAGAGAAGUUGUUGAUGAUAGGUUGUUGGUGACAUCAAUCAUUAAAAAUGUAAGGCAAUGAGGAGGUCUUUGAUUGAUGAAUGUGAGUGAUACUAUAAAUGCAAUUUAGAUAUUUCAUACCAACUAUCUAGGACAGCAUAAUUUAUAUCAUUUAUAUCAAGUAGUUCAAUCCAACUCAACACAUAUUUCUGCUGUCCUUACUGUCAGGCCUCUGAGCCCAAGCCAAGCCUUCACAUCCUGUGACUUGCACGUAUAUACCCAGAUGGCCUGAAGUAACUGAAGAAUCACAAAAGAAGUGAAAAUGCCCUGCCCCGCCUUAACUGAUGACAUUCCACCGCAAAAGAAGUGAAAAUGCCCUGCCCUUGCCUAAACUGAUGACAUUCUACCACAAAAGUAGUGAAAAUGGCUGGUCCUUGCCUUAAGUGAUGACAUUACCUUGUGAAAUUCCCUUUCCUGGCUCAUCCUGGCUCAAAAACUCCCCCACUGAGCACCUUGUGACCCCCACUCCUGCCCGCCAGAGAACAACCCCCCUUUGACUGUAAUUUUCCUUUACCUACCCAAAUCCUACAAAACGGCCCCACCCUUAUCUCCCUUCGCUGACUCUCUUUUUGGACUCAGCCCACCUGCACCCAGGUGAUUAAAAAACUUUAUUGCUCACACAAAGCCUGUUUGGUGGUCUCUUCACAUGGAUGCUCAUGACACCACCUGCUAAGUGGUAGAAAUGAUAUAAGCAUGAGAAGAGAAAUCCUGCUGUAAAUGGCC
rnacentral:lncRNA from 1 species